rnacentral:rRNA from 1 species
ACAGCAGUAGCCGCGGUAAUACGAAGGGUGCAAGCGUUAAUCGGAAUUACUGGGCGUAAAGCGUGCGUAGGCGGUUUGUUAAGUCUGCUGUGAAAUCCCCGGGCUCAACCUGGGAAUGGCAGUGGAUACUGGCAAGCUAGAGUGUGUCAGAGGAUGGUGGAAUUCCCGGUGUAGCGGUGAAAUGCGUAGAGAUCGGGAGGAACAUCAGUGGCGAAGGCGGCCAUCUGGGACAACACUGACGCUGAGGCACGAAAGCGUGGGGAGCAAACAGGAUUAGAUACCCCUGUAGUCCCUGUCUCUUAUAA